rnacentral:lncRNA from 1 species
ACUAGAAAGCCGAAGAUGUUAAUCAUCUUGUGUGUGCGCAACAAGCUCAGAGAAGCCGGGCAGCAGCAGCCGGGCGACAUGCGAGGAAUAAUGCAAAAGCCACUCUCUCUCUUUCUCUCUCUUUCAAUUUCUUUUUUUCUCUCUCUUUAAAGUAGAAAUGAUUCGAUUUAAAAGUCACAGCCGUUGGUGGACAAUUUCGGUCGCGUGAGCCAGUUGGAAAAAAUACAAAAAUUAAAAGUGUGGGGAAGAAGGGAAACGAGUUAAUUGAUGUGUCUUAACACAUUCAAUCAAUUUCGUUUGUAUCAUUAGUCGAAAUCUUUGGGGUCCCGGCACCUCGCAUCAUUUGGUUAUUUUUCGUUCCGUUUUGUUUUUCUCUUUUUUCUCCUUUUUGACGUGACCAAAAAAGGUCACGACGUCGCCCGUGAAACUGGAACCAACCGCCUGGCCGUCAAAAACAAAAAGGGGGAAACAAAAUCCAGCCAAAGUUCGAGCUAGAAAGAGAGAGAGAGAGAGAGACUAUGUCGUGAAUCGGACCAUCUGCCUCAUCUUUGGCCGGUAAAUGGGUGGAACGGCGGGGAUUUGGCGACGGGCGACCGUCGGUUCGGCCCAUUUCGCCAGCGUUACGCAAUCGGGCCGUUCGAUCGCAAAUCGAAGGCCGUCCGGUAAGUCGCUAAAUGUCGAUCAAGUGUUCCAGACGGUGGCUGGCACGCACUGCGGAUGGCUGGCCGGGCCACUGCCGCUGCCGUUGCUGCUGGCCCCUUUCUCUUCUUCCUUUUUUCUUUAUUUAAAAAAAUAAGAAAAGAAAAAAAGAAAAACUCCCGACGUUUUCUUAUUCUGGCGCCCAGGUCCUUUCCGAGACUUUUUUUUUUCUUUUUCUCUCAGCUGGCCCAUGAGAGAAGAGAGUUCACGGGCCACAAGGCUAAAGCAUCCACCACCCCACCACCACCUCCCAUUCCACCCAAGAAAAGAGAAUCAAAAGGAAGAAGAAGAAGAAGAAGAAGAAAAAGAGAUUUUUUCGGGACCCCCCGAGGGCCUUUCUACCACACUAGGAGUAUAUCCCAUUGGUGAUUCAUCCAGCAACAGGUAGUGCGUGUGUGUGUGUGUGUAAGAGAGAAAAAGGGCGGAGGAGGUAGAGAGAGAGAGAAAGAGAGGGCAGGGCUGAGCCGAGUAUAAAACGGGUGGUCAGGUGUCGCGCGCCCGCCUUGUGCUCAGCCGUCGACCGUCCGGAGCGGUCGUGAUCCUCGUCCUCUACAACUCUGUGUGCAACCAUCUUCUCCUCUCAUUUUUGCCCAGUGCCUCGACACGGAUGGACUUGUUUGUUUUGUCGCUGCUCUCUCGUUCUCUCUGCUGGUCCAAUCAGAAACAAAAAGUGGCCGACAACAGGAACAACAGGGCGGCGAUUUUCAAAAAAAUAUUUCCGACACGUUCAAGAAUUUUCGACAGGAGAAAAACAAACAAACAAACAGGUAAGACGGAAAAAACGACUCAAACAUCAAGAGGCUUCACGCAGAAUUUUUUUCCACGAGAGACCGAAGAAGAAAAAACUUGCAAGUUGACAUUGUUUGGUCAAAACAACUUCAAACGAAAAGUGAGUAGACGCCCCAAAAUGUUGAUGGCAUUUCCCUUGUGUAAACUAUUUUUAAAAUUCUUUAUUUUCUUUCCUUCAAAAAAUUUGAUUCUUUGACUAUGUGCGCGUGUGUGUGUAUUUAAAAACUAUACGUAAUAAACGGAUUGGACUACA